rnacentral:rRNA from 1 species
CAGCCGCCACGGGAAUACGUAGGGGGCUAGCGUUGUUCGGAAUUACUGGGCGUAAAGCGCGCGUAGGCGGUUACUCAAGUCAGAGGUGAAUGCCCGGGGCUCAACCCCGGAACUGCCUUUGAAACUAGGUGACUAGAAUCUUGGAGAGGUCAGUGGAAUUCCGAGUGUAGCGGUGAAAUGCGUAGAUAUUAGGAAGAACACCAGUGGCGUAGGCGACUAGCUGGGCCAUAACUGACGCUGAGGAACGAAAGCCAGGGGAGCGAAUGGGAUUAGAUACCCCCGUAGUCCCUGUCUCUUAUAC